AAAAGACAAAAAAUAGAGAGAUACGAAGAGAAGGGAGAAUGAGGCCGCGUUGGAAGGGCGGGAUACCUGAGGACGAACGUAUGGCCGCCGAGGUGCUUAUGGAUCCUUCAUUUUGGCAGAUGCUGUUCAUCGACUGCCCGGGCGUGCCCAAGUCGGCGUCCAGGCUGGUGAUGGGCCACUCCCUGCUGCUGCUCCUGCUCUUCGCCAGCUUCUACAGCAAGGCCUACAGAGGCAAGGGGAGCAAGGAGAUUGCAUAGUUUUUCUUGAGAAGGAAAUGCGCGUUCCAGGGUCCAGGGUCCCUAAACAUCAUUUCUUAAAAUGACAAGAAUUCCUGGCUUUUUAUUUGUAUUUUCAUGGAUUAAAUUUUCCCUAAAACUUAGUAUUCUUUAUGUUUUUCCGUCGAGAUUUCAGCUCAUAGAUUUCAACAAUGGUGAAGUAAGCACGACCAAUUUUGUAAUAAAUCCUUCAUUACCAAAUGGAUGGGUGGAUCUACAUCUGAAGUUCGAGAAGAUGCUAGAAGUGUGGAUUGCUGGAUUUCCAUGCCCACUGGUUAGGGUACCAAACGUUUUUUUAUGUCGAGAACGUGAAAGCCAAAGGGAGCAACACGACUGUUAAUUGCCAUGUCGGCAAGUUCUUUAGUUUUACGGAUCAUUGUAACACACGCGCGCACGCACACACACACACA